rnacentral:rRNA from 1 species
GAUGAACGCUGGCGGCGUGCUUAACACAUGCAAGUCGAACGGUGAACGAGGGAGCUUGCUCCCUCCAGAUCAGUGGCGAACGGGUGAGUAACACGUGAGCAAUCUGCCCCGAACUCUGGGAUAAGCGCUGGAAACGGCGUCUAAUACCGGAUACGACGCGCGAAGGCAUCUUCUGCGCGUGGAAAGAAUUUCGGUUCGGGAUGAGCUCGCGGCCUAUCAGCUAGUUGGUGAGGUAACGUCUCACCAAGGCGACGACGGGUAGCCGGCCUGAGAGGGUGUCCGGCCACACUGGGACUUGGACACGGCGCAGAGUCCUACGGGGGGCAGCAGUGGGGAAUAGUGCACAAUGGGCGAAAGCCUGAUGCAGCAACGCCGCGUGAGGGACGACGGCCUUCGGGUUGUAAACCUCUUUUAGUAGGGAAGAAGCGAAAGUGACGGUACCUGCAGAAAAAGCACCGGCUAACUACGUGCCAGCAGCCGCAGUAAAAC